rnacentral:tRNA from 1 species
GAAAGGGAGCAYAAAGCGCUGGGUUUUGCAAAAACCUUGUAGAGUUACARACUCCCCUUUUU